rnacentral:rRNA from 1 species
UGAGGGAAUAUUGGGUCAAUGGACGAAAGUCUGAACCAGCCAUGCCGCGUGAAGGAAUAAGGCCCUAUGGGUCGUAAACUUCUUUUGUAUGUGAGCAAUAAGGUCCACGUGUGGACCGAUGAGAGUAGCAUACGAAUAAGCAUCGGCUAACUCCGUGCCAGCAGCCGCGGUAAUACGGAGGAUGCAAGCGUUAUCCGGAUUCAUUGGGUUUAAAGGUGCGUAGGCGGCUUGGUAAGUCAGCGGUGAAAUUCCAGUGCUCAACAUUGGCCGUGCCGUUGAUACUGCUGGGCUUGAAUGCGGAUGCCGUGGGAGGAAUGUGUGGUGUAGCGGUGAAAUGCAUAGAUAUCACACAGAACACCGAUUGCGAAGGCAGCUCACGGGAGCGCA